rnacentral:rRNA from 1 species
GACGAACGCUGGCGGCGUGCUUAACACAUGCAAGUCGAACGGAAAGGCCCUGCUUUUGUGGGGUGCUCGAGUGGCGAACGGGUGAGUAACACGUGAGUAACCUGCCCUUGACUUUGGGAUAACUUCAGGAAACUGGGGCUAAUACCGGAUAGGAGCUCCUGCUGCAUGGUGGGGGUUGGAAAGUUUCGGCGGUUGGGGAUGGACUCGCGGCUUAUCAGCUUGUUGGUGGGGUAGUGGCUUACCAAGGCUUUGACGGGUAGCCGGCCUGAGAGGGUGACCGGCCACAUUGGGACUGAGAUACGGCCCAGACUCCUACGGGAGGCAGCAGUGGGGAAUAUUGCACAAUGGGCGGGAGCCUGAUGCAGCAACGCCGCGUGCGGGAUGACAGCCUUCGGGUUGUAAACCGCUUUCGCCUGUGACGAAGCGUGAGUGACGGUAAUGGGUAAAGAAGCACCGGCUAACUACGUG